CUUCUGUAUCCUUCCAGGGUGAAGCGUGGAGCACAGUGAAGAAAUACAUGAAGGAAUGUGAUACAAAUACAAAUGAGGAGCCAGUGUCCUGGGCUAAACACAAGAGUGCUGAUUCCCACUGUAAGUUAUGGUGAAGAACUUCUGCUAUCUGAGGGCAUGUGUUUUCAUCUUCAAAAAAGGAUGGACAGUCCCCAUGAACCUUCCCUCUCCAACCACACAGGCCUUGCUUCUGGACAUGCAGUGAUAACUCUCUGUUUGCUGGAUGAAGAUCAUGUUGGCUCUAUGCACAUUCAGAUAACCUUCUACACCAGACACCCCUGGUGAUUGCUCUAUAAAUCAUAUUGGCCAGGAGAAAGGACGUUCAGUUCCCUAGGCUUUUCAUCAUGGUCAAUUAGGGAAUCAGCCCAAAAGGUCAGCAUCACUGCCCUUAAAUGAGGUCACACUCCAUGCACUCUGAGUACCCCGGAAAGCUGUGGUGCUGGUGAUAAAUGCAUGUGUCCAGACACCUGGUUUCAACGAGGCAAAUCCCUGGCAUACAAUCCCAGCUUGUCUCUUCUUACUGCGUGUAUUUCUCGAGCUGGCCUGUCACCAUACAAAGAGUAUUUUGAAAAUGCAGUUUAUGCUCAUCUUGGAUGCAGCUGAGAUGCCAUGGAAAGAAGUCAGACUUUGGAAUAGGAUAGGUCUCAGGAUUUGGGAGCAUGUUCCAUUAUCCCCUCAAGUUUUGAUUCCCUCAUCUAUUAAAGGUUAUUGCAAGGACAAGAUAUAAUGCCUUUCAAGUGCUUGAUGAAGGGCCUGAACUAUAUCAGGUACUCAUGAAUGUUUAGUAUGAUGCAAAUUUUAAGAUUAAUAAUAAAAGCAGCUGCACCAGACUGCUAUUGCUUCCCUAAA